CAACAGUCAAAUAAUGAAUAAUCGAAUAAUAGUGUAAACCGUAUAUGCAAUUUCGAUUCAGUGAUUUCUGAGUGUGAAUCUUCGGAGUAUUCGUGCUAUCUUGGUAAAUCCUAUUCCUCCUACUGGAGAAAUGCCUCCAAUGAAAAAUCCGAGAAUUCGGAACAGCCUGUUGAACAAGCCGAAGAAUCAACGCCAGGAAAAAGAUCGAAACAAGACGAGACAGAUAAAGUAAAGUUUGAAAAGGCGCAAAAGUUGCUAGAACGAGAUAAUGACGUGGAACGGUUUCGUCGAAGAACAUUGAACGAUGUAGAAAAAUAUGAACUUCUAGCAAAUGUAUGGACACCAGAUGCGUUUUUUGUGUUUCCGGCAUUCGUAAAAAUCUCAAAUUUCAGCUAUCGUGGUUGCAAACAUACCCUUGGCUGUUAUAUUCAGCAGUUGAAGAUGCAACGUAUUGUAAAUCGUGUAUAAUAUUUGCAACAGAGCAAGUUGUGAAAGGCAGCCAUGAAAAUUCAAAGGCGCUCAUCAAAAUUGGUUGGAAAAAUUGGAGAAAGGCUUUAGACAGGUUUAAAGAACAUGCGGCGACAAAGUAUCACGAUGACGCCAACACCGAUGCGCGCAACUUCAAGCUUAUUUAUGAAAACAAGAAGAACCAUGUCAUUACUGACAUAUUACUGACAUUUUUUGACUAUCUAAGCUAUAAGACACAGAAUGAAAUUAUCGAGGCUGGACGAGAGAUAAUUACGAAUGACGAGGUGUUUUGCAGUCACUGUCGAUGAAACGACUUAUAUAAGUGGAAUAGAACAAUUUUCUAUUGGAGUCCGAGGAUGUGACAGGCGCAGGACUGGCUAAUACACUGUUAACAUCGUUGAAAAAACUUGGCAUUGAGAUUCAAUACAUGAAAGGGCAAGGGUGAUUCGCAUUUCAGUGUACUUCAAUGUCAUAAAUAAUUUUCAAAGGAGAAAAUAAUACAAUACUGACGACGAUCUUUGUUGUAGGUUAUGAUUGAGCACGAGCGAUGAGUGGAGAGUUCAAAGGAUGUGCAGCUAUUGUUAAAAAUUAAGGUUUAGAUGCACCUUAUUUUCAUUGUGCAAACCACAAUUUGUCACGCAUGCGACAUUGCACCGAUUCGCAACUGCUUGGGACGGUCAAAAAAGCCGUCAGUUUCUUUCGAAAUUGUAACAAGGCUGGAACAAUUUUAAAGAAAACCAUUCUUGAAUCGAAGACUGGCUCCAAGCAUACUCGUCUUCCGAAAUUUUGCGAAACGCGUUGAAUUGAACACCUCGCAUCACUUAGCCUGUUCUACCAUAGCGUAAGAUUUAUUGAUUCCACUCUGGACGAAAUGGACGAGCUGAAAGUAAAAUCGGAUGGUGUGCGGCCAAAUGAGCUACUUGCUUCUAUUCGAACGCCACAGUUUUACACAGUAGUAAUUUUAUUGGCAGUGCUCAAACCUAUCUUUGGAUUAACUAAAAGUUUGUGUCUCAAUUUAAAAAAAGAAGAUUGUGAUCUAAGUAAAUGCAUUGAAUACGCGAAGGAUGUCCAUGAUGAAAUAAAGGACAUGCCUACAAAGACAGAUGAAACAUUCCGAGAAAUUUUUGAAUCAGCGACACAGAUUGCUCAAUCGAUUGAUACCGUGCUGACGGUUCCUCGACGAGCAGGACGUCAGAAAAAUCGGGACAAAUAUGCUGGAAAUGCUGAAGAGUACUAUUGGCGAUUAAUCUACAUUCCAUUUUUGGAUAAGUACUCUGAAGAGCUUGAAACAAGAUUUUUAAAGCAACGAGAUACAAACAAAAUAUUAUCCCAGCAAAAUGUGCAGAGAUUGAUAAGGUUGAAUUGGACAAGACCAUCUCUGUUUUUAUUUUAUUACAACUCAUUUUAUUUUUCAAUGAUCAUCGAGUGACGACAUUUUUAUCUAGGUGAUCAUUGAAUUAUAUUGUAGCUAUUUAUCUCACGUAGGCCUGAAGCUUGAUUUAGAAGCUCAAGACGUCAACCUUUAUGUCACGAUACCCAUAAAUUAUUUAUCGAAAAAACUGAUUUAU